rnacentral:rRNA from 1 species
AGAGUUUGAUUCUGGCUCAGGACGAACGCUGGCGGCGUGCUUAACACAUGCAAGUCGAACGAACGUAGAAAUACGUUAGUGGCGGACGGGUGAGUAACGCGCGAGCAAUCUGCCCUUGUCAGUGGAAUAACACAGAGAAAUUUGUGCUAAUACCGCAUAAUAUUCAGUUGAGGCAUCUCAGUUGAAUCAAAGAAUUAUCGGACAAGGAUGAGCUCACGUCCCAUUAGGUAGUUGGUGAGGUAACGGCCCACCAAGCCGACGAUGGGUAGCCGACCUGAGAGGGUGAUCGGCCACAUUGGAACUGAGAAACGGUCCAGACUCCUACGGGAGGCAGCAGUGGGGAAUAUUGGGCAAUGGAGGCAACUCUGACCCAGCAACGCCGCGUGAAUGAUGAAGGUCUUCGGAUUGUAAAGUUCUGUGAUGGGGGACGAAGAAAGUGACGGUACCCCAAUAGCAAGCUACGGCUAACUACGUGCCAGCAGCCGCGGUAAUACGUAGGUAGCAAGCGUUGUCCGGAAUGACUGGGCGUAAAGGGUGCGUAGGUGGUUUAACAAGUUGGUAGUGAAAUUCCGAAGCUUAACUUCGGCGCUACUGCCAAGACUGUUGAACUUGAGUACAGGAGAGGUAAGUGGAAUUCCUAGUGUAGCGGUGGAAUGCGUAGAUAUUAGGAGGAACACCAGUGGCGAAGGCGACUUACUGGCCUGCAACUGACACUGAGGCACGAAAGCGUGGGGAGCAAACAGGAUUAGAUACCCUGGUAGUCCACGC